AUUGAACGCUGGCGGCAGGCCUAACACAUGCAAGUCGAGCGGUUGACGGGAGCUUGCUCCCUGAUUCAGCGGCGGACGGGUGAGUAAUGCCUAGGAAUCUGCCUAUUAGUGGGGGACAACGCUUCGAAAGGAACGCUAAUACCGCAUACGUCCUACGGGAGAAAGCAGGGGACCUUCGGGCCUUGCGCUAAUAGAUGAGCCUGGGUCGGAUUAGCUUGUUGGUGAGGUAAUGGCUCACCAAGGCGACGAUCCGUAACUGGGCUGAGAGGAUGAUCAGUCCCACUGGAACUGAGACACGGUCCAGACUCCUACGGGAGGCAGCAGUGGGGAAUAUUGGACAAUGGGCGAAAGCCUGAUCCAGCCAUGCCGCGUGUGUGAAGAAGGUCUUCGGAUUGUAAAGCACGUUAAGUUGGGAGGAAGGGUUGUAGAUUAAUACUCUGCAAUUUUGACGUUACCGACAGAAUAAGCACCGGCUAACUCUGUGCCAGCCGCCGCUGUAACAC
rnacentral:rRNA from 1 species